rnacentral:rRNA from 1 species
AUUGAACGCUGGCGGCAUGCCUUACACAUGCAAGUCGAACGGUAACAGGUCUUUCGGGAUGCUGACGAGUGGCGAACGGGUGAGUAAUACAUCGGAACGUGCCUAGUAGUGGGGGAUAACUACUCGAAAGAGUGGCUAAUACCGCAUGAGAUCUAUGGAUGAAAGCAGGGGACCUUCGGGCCCCGUGCUCAUAGAGCGGCCGAUGGCAGAUUAGGUAGUUGGUGAGAUAAAAGCUUACCAAGCCUACGAUCUGUAGCUGGUCUGAGAGGAGGAUCAGCCACACUGGGACUGAGACACGGCCCAGACUCCUACGGGAGGCAGCAGUGGGGAAUUUUGGACAAUGGGGGAAACCCUGAUCCAGCAAUGCCGCGUGCAGGAUGAAGGCCUUCGGGUUGUAAACUGCUUUUGUACGGAACGAAAAGUCUUGGGUUAAUACCCUGGGAUCAUGACGGUACCGUAAGAAUAAGCACCGGCUAACUACGUGCCAGCAGCCGCGGUAAAAC